CCGGGUUGCGGACAGUGUCUGGUGGGUAGUUUGACUGGGGCGGUCUCCUCCCAAAGAGUAACGGAGGAGCACGAAGGUUAGCUAAUCCUGGUCGGACAUCAGGAGGUUAGUGCAAUGGCAUAAGCUAGCUUGACUGCGAGCGUGACGGCGCGAGCAGGUGCGAAAGCAGGUCAUAGUGAUCCGGUGGUUCUGAAUGGAAGGGCCAUCGCUCAACGGAUAAAAGGUACUCCGGGGAUAACAGGCUGAUACCGCCCAAGAGUUCAUAUCGACGGCGGUGUUUGGCACCUCGAUGUCGGCUCAUCACAUCCUGGGGCUGAAGUAGGUCCCAAGGGUAUGGCUGUUCGCCAUUUAAAGUGGUACGCGAGCUGGGUUUAGAACGUCGUGAGACAGUUCGGUCCCUAUCUGCCGUGGGCGCUGGAGAAUUGAGGGGGGCUGCUCCUAGUACGAGAGGACCGGAGUGGACGCAUCACUGGUGUUCGGGUUGUCAUGCCAAUGGCACUGCCCGGUAGCUAAAUGCGGAAGAGAUAAGUGCUGAAAGCAUCUAAGCACGAAACUUGCCCCGAGAUGAGUUCUCCCUGAGACUAUAAGUCUCCUGAAGGAACGUUGAAGACGACGACGUUGAUAGGCCGGGUGUGUAAGCGCAGCGAUGCGUUGAGCUAACCGGUACUAAUGAACCGUGAGGCUUAACCUU
rnacentral:rRNA from 1 species